UACAGAGGCCCCAAGCAUUAUCCGGAUUCACUGGGCGUAAAGGGUGCGUAGGCGGUGUGAUUAGUCAGGUGUUAAAUCCUGGUGCUUAACCUCAGAAUCGCAUUUGAAACGGUCACACUAGAAGAUGUAAGAGGUAAGCAGAACUUUCGGUGUAGGGGUGAAAUCCGUUGAUAUCGAGGGGAAUACCAAAUGCGAAGGCAGCUUACUGGUACAUUCUUGACGCUGAGGCACGAAAGCGUGGGUAGCGAAUCGG
rnacentral:rRNA from 1 species